rnacentral:rRNA from 1 species
GCAGAACGCGAAGAACCUUACCUACUCUUGACAUCCACGGAACUUAGCAGAGAUGCUUUGGUGCCUUCGGGAACCGUGAGACAGGUGCUGCAUGGCUGUCGUCAGCUCGUGUUGUGAAAUGUUGGGUUAAGUCCCGCAACGAGCGCAACCCUUAUCCUUUGUUGCCAGCGGUCCGGCCGGGAACUCAAAGGAGACUGCCAGUGAUAAACUGGAGGAAGGUGGGGAUGACGUCAAGUCAUCAUGGCCCUUACGAGUAGGGCUACACACGUGCUACAAUGGCGCAUACAAAGAGAAGCGACCUCGCGAGAGCAAGCGGACCUCAUAAAGUGCGUCGUAGUCCGGAUUGGAGUCUGCAACUCGACUCCAUGAAGUCGGAAUCGCUAGUAAUCGUAGAUCAGAAUGCUACGGUGAAUACGUUCCCCCGGGUCUUGUAC